rnacentral:rRNA from 1 species
UCCGUAGGCGGGCAGCUCAGUCAGUGGUGAAAGUUUGCAGCUCAACUGUAAAAUUGCCAUUGAUACUGGUUGUCUUGAAUUAAUGUGAAGUGGUUAGAAUAUGUAGUGUAGCGGUGAAAUGCAUAGAUAUUACAUGGAAUGCCAAUUGCGAAGGCAGAUCACUAACAUUAUAUUGACGCUGAUGGACGAAAGCGUGGGGAGCGAACAGGAUUAGAUACCCUGGUAGUCC